CAAUAGCGUAUAUUAAAGUUGUUGCAGUUAAAAAGCUCGUAGUUGAAUUUCUGGCGGGCGCGCCGGUCUUCCAAGUGUUGUACUGGGCGCAGUCCGCCAUCCUUGUGGAGAGGGCUCGCAUUGAGUUGCGUGUCGGAUCUGCAUCAUUUACUGUGAAAAAAUUAGAGUGUUUAAAGCAGGCUGUCGCUUGAAUACACUAGCAUGGAAUAAUAAGAUAGGACUUCGGUCUAUUUUGUUGGUUGCGAACCGAGGUAAUGAUUAAUAGGGAUAGUUGGGGGUAUUCAUAUUUAAUUGUCAGAGGUGAAAUUCUUGGAUUUAUGAAAGAUGAACAACUGCGAAAGCAUUUACCAAGGAUGUUUUCAUUAA
rnacentral:rRNA from 1 species